rnacentral:rRNA from 1 species
GAUCAAGCUACAAAGGGCGUAAGGUGGAUGCCUUGGCACUAGGCGCCGAAGAAGGACGUGACAAGCUGCGAAAAGCUGCGGGGAGCUGCACAUGAGCUUCGAUCCGCAGAUAUCCGAAUGAGG